UUCACGCACUGAACACACAACGCAGAGCCGUCUGCUCUCGCGCUUUCUCUCUCUCUCUCUCUCUCUCUCUCUCUCUAUCUAGGGUUUUGCCUUCCUCUCUCUCUUUCACACAACGACGGCGCCGAUCGUCACCGCCGAUCCUCCCUCACCCCCGAUCCUCCCUCACCGCCGCUCGUACCUCACAGAUCCUCCUCCCUCACGGCCGCUAGCCUCCCUCUCUGUCUCUCACACACGAGUCACGACGGCUGGUCGCCCCUCACCGCCACUCCUCCCUCACCGGCGAUCCUCCCUCACCGCCGAUUUUCAAAGGAAGAUAAGAAGCUGAAAACUCUUGCAAAGAGGAAUCUGUGGUGCCAGUGUGUGAAUUGCAGCCAUGUGGUUGAACUACCAGCAGGUUGCAAUCACAUUUAUUGUAGCCAAUGAUGGGGUCAGAACAAAUUGAUUAGUUACAAAACAAACUGGAAUAAGAUCAUUUGUUGCUAUGACAACGUCAUUGCAGAAAAUUGUGAACAUGCAAUUAUCGCUCUUAAACAUAGUGAACCUAAGGAGCUGAGGAUUCGAAUAGCAGUGCUUCUUACUAAAUUUUGGUUGCUGAUUGCUAGCCUGCUUGUUUGUUUUGUGAUUAACUCGUUUCAGAAGUUCCUUUCUCAUCUUAUUUUUUUUUAAUUUUUUUUUUCUGUAUUGCAUUGCAGCUGAGAACUUCUUGUGAUGACUAAAGCUUUUGUUUUUUCAUGCGGAAAUACCUCCAUUUUGGAAGGUCAAGGAUUUUGCAGUGGUAAAAGUUGAUUUACAAAGAGUGACUUGUAUGUUAAAUAUCAACACCUACAAUUUGAGAUUAUUGUGUAGGAGGAAAUGUUUUCAUUGAAUUAAUAGGAGUAAUUGUGUGAGUUUUUGUUCUUUUGACAUAUUGAUAAUGCUUAUUAUGGUUUGAUGGUCUUCCGUUUGUUUUUGUAGAUAACUUCUAAAAUUUGGGAACUUAGGUUGAUUGAAAUCCUGUUAUGACCAGUUGACAAAGAUUUUUUGGCCAAAAAUAACACACUAUACUAGUAGCAGGGUUAUCUAUCUAAUGUUCUUAAUUCAAAGAAUUGUUUACUUUCCCACUUUUAUUCAUGCAUGCCCCCUGUAGUGUGCUAAGUGGAGAAUGCUUGGCAGCCCAAUGUGCAGAAAGAUGGAACGUAUAAUUUUAUGUAUUGUUGUAUGCGAAAUACUCCGAAAUGCAGGAUUCGGAAAAGAUGGAACUGUAUAAUUUUAUGUGAAUGAAGUAAUUCAUAGCAGUGGACUAA